CCCUUCGGGGUGUGACUGCGUACCUUUUGUAUAAUGGGUCAGCGACUUAUAUUCUGUAGCAAGGUUAACCGUAUAGGGGAGCCGGAGGGAAACCGAGUCUUAAUUGGGCGUUAAGUUGCAGGGUAUAGACCCGAAACCCGGUGAUCUAGCCAUGGGCAGGUUGAAGGUUGGGUAACACUAACUGGAGGACCGAACCGACUAAUGUUGAAAAAUUAGCGGAUGACCUGUGGCUGGGGGUGAAAGGCCAAUCAAACCGGGAGAUAGCUGGUUCUCCCCGAAAGCUAUUUAGGUAGCGCCUCGUGAAUUCAUCUCCGGGGGUAGAGCACUGUUUCGGCUAGGGGGCCAUCCCGGCUUACCAACCCGAUGCAAACUGCGAAUACCGGAGAAUGUUAUCACGGGAGACACACGGCGGGUGCUAACGUCCGUCGUGAAGAGGGAAACAACCCAGACCGCCAGCUAAGGUCCCAAAGUCAUGGUUAAGUGGGAAACGAUGUGGGAAGGCCCAGACAGCCAGGAUGUUGGCUUAGAAGCAGCCAUCAUUUAAAGAAAGCGUAAUAGCUCACUGGUCGAGUCGGCCUGCGCGGAAGAUGUAACGGGGCUAAACCAUGCACCGAAGCUGCGGCAGCGAACGUAUCACCCAAGACAACUUUACGGAGUUGACGAUUGACGGAGCGAAGCGACGUCAAAGCGUUCAUUAAAGUCGAGUUGGCUUAGGGAUACGUUCGUUGGGUAGGGGAGCGUUCUGUAAGCCUGUGAAGGUGUGUCGUGAGGCAUGCUGGAGGUAUCAGAAGUGCGAAUGCUGACAUAAGUAACGAUAAAGCGGGUGAAAAGCCCGCUCGCCGGAAGACCAAGGGUUCCUGUCCAACGUUAAUCGGGGCAGGGUGAGUCGACCCCUAAGGCGAGGCCGAAAGGCGUAGUCGAUGGGAAACGGGUUAAUAUUCCCGUACUUGGUGUUACUGCGAAGGGGGGACGGAGAAGGCUAUGUUGGCCGGGCGACGGUUGUCCCGGUUUAAGCGUGUAGGUGUGUGUUCCAGGUAAAUCCGGUUCACUUUAACACUGAGGCGUGACGACGAGGCACUACGGUGCUGA
rnacentral:rRNA from 1 species